rnacentral:rRNA from 1 species
AACGAACGCUGGCGGCGUGCCUAACACAUGCAAGUCGAACGAGAAGUACGUAGCAAUACGUAUUGUAAAGUGGCGCACGGGUGAGUAACACGUGGGUAAUCUGCCCUUGAGUUUGGGAUAACCCCGCGAAAGCGGGGCUAAUACCGAAUAAGACCACGGGGACCAAAGUCCCUGAGGUAAAAGACGGCCUCUAUUCAUAAGCUGUCACUUGAGGAUGAGCCCGCGGCCCAUUAGCUAGUUGGUAGGGUAACGGCCUACCAAGGCGAUGAUGGGUAGCUGGUCUGAGAGGACGAUCAGCCACACUGGAACUGAGACACGGUCCAGACUCCUACGGGAGGCAGCGGUGGGGAAUAUUGCGCAAUGGGCGAAAGCCUGACGCAGCAACGCCGCGUGGGGGAUGAAGGUUCUCGGAUUGUAAACCCCUUUCGAUCGGAACGAAUCUCCUCCUGGUAAAUAAUCAGGAGGAUCGACGGUACCGGGAGAAGAAGCCACGGCUAACUCUGUGCCAGCAGCCGCCGCCGUAA